rnacentral:sRNA from 1 species
UGGAAAGGCCCAGAGAAUUAAGUCCUCUGUUCAUUCAUAGAGCAGGUAUAGCGCAAGCUUUCCACACAAUACCCUGUCAGUGUGCCUCAAUCCUGCCUGGAGAGAGACCACUUCAAAAGGGCAAGAAGGCAAUUCACUCUCUUUAUAACAGUUCUACAUGCAUCAAUA